UGGUCAAUCUAGUGGCGAACGGGUGAGUAACACGUGGGUAACCUGCCCAUCAGAGGGGGAUAACAUCCGGAAACGGAUGCUAAAACCGCAUAGGUCUUCGAGCCGCAUGGCUUGAAGAGGAAAAGAGGCGCAAGCUUCUGCUGAUGGAUGGACCCGCGGUGCAUUAGCUAGUUGGUGAGGUAACGGCUCACCAAGGCCGUGAUGCAUAGCCGACCUGAGAGGGUGAUCGGCCACAUUGGGACUGAGGCACGGCCCAAACUCCUACGGGAGGCAGCAGUAGGGAAUCUUCCGCAAUGGACGCAAGUCUGACGGAGCAACGCCGCGUGAGUGAAGAAGGUUUUCGGAUCGUAAAACUCUGUUGUUAGAGAAGAACAAGUGCUAGAGUAACUGUUAGCGCCUUGACGGUAUCUAACCAGAAAGCCACGGCUAACUACGUGCCAGCAGCCGCGGUAAUACGUAGGUGGCAAGCGUUGUCCGGAUUUAUUGGGCGUAAAGCGAGCGCAGGCGGUUCCUUAAGUCUGAUGUGAAAGCCCCCGGCUCAACCGGGGAGGGUCAUUGGAAACUGGGGAACUUGAGUGCAGAAGAGGAGAGCGGAAUUCCAUGUGUAGCGGUGAAAUGCGUAGAUAUAUGGAGGAACAC
rnacentral:rRNA from 1 species